rnacentral:lncRNA from 1 species
AUGGUUGACUGAUUGUAACUAUGACUUUUGAUGAUCUAUCCACAGUGAGGCGGAGGAGUUUCUCCUUUUCUCCUCUUCUUAUGGUGAAAGACCUUAACAGCAUCUGGUAAACAGACACGUGCCCACCAUGCAGCCCUUUGGUGCCCACUGCUGUCCCCAGGGAUCCUCUCCGCAGCCCACCCGCACCACUGGCUGGCCCACAGGGGAGCGAAGCGGGAUGCCUUGUGAUGCCCUGCAUCUCCUUGUUUUCCUCUGUGUUUGUUCAGCUGCAAUCUGGGGUCCAGAAAUCAAUGAAUAAAUUGCCAUCAUCCAGUGAAUAAAACAGUCAUCUGAUACUCAUGCAGAAGAGGUAGGCAGCACAGACAGAUCGUAAACCUGUGGUACUCCCAGCUCUCUACUGUGCCAGGUGAGUAAGAAGUUGGAAAGCUGGGAGGACGCCUGUUUGCAUUUAGCUCUCAUGUGCCUCACUUUGUCACUGUCUCUCUUCUACUUUCUAAAUCCUGUUUGCUCAUGGUCCAAAAAAGACAUCUAGCCUGUAUGUCUUACUUCUAGAUAUCUCUCCUAAUCACUCAACUUAUAGAGCAAAUUCGUCCUCGUUGCAUCAAACUUUACUCCGUAUAGCCCUCUUUCAUCUCUAAUCUUCCCAGUGUGACAGGAAAAUGUUCCCCACAGCAAUGCCUUAUGAUGUCAGAUUGAGAGGCUUCUGGCUGGAUGAGCAAAAGACUAUUUAAAAGGCAAUUCUAAAUGCGCACAUUCUGACUGCAUAGUCAUCACUGGCCUCAACAAGGAAACGAAACGCCUCUGCAUGGCUUGACCUGCAAUUUCCCUUCUGUAG